CUUACACAUGCAAGUCGAACGGCAGCACGGGGGCAACCCUGGUGGCGAGUGGCGAACGGGUGAGUAAUACAUCGGAACGUGUCCUGUAGUGGGGGAUAGCCCGGCGAAAGCCGGAUUAAUACCGCAUACGCUCUACGGAGGAAAGGGGGGGAUCUUAGGACCUCCCGCUACAGGGGCGGCCGAUGGCAGAUUAGCUAGUUGGUGGGGUAAAGGCCUACCAAGGCGACGAUCUGUAGCUGGUCUGAGAGGACGACCAGCCACACUGGGACUGAGACACGGCCCAGACUCCUACGGGAGGCAGCAGUGGGGAAUUUUGGACAAUGGGGGCAACCCUGAUCCAGCAAUGCCGCGUGUGCGAAGAAGGCCUUCGGGUUGUAAAGCACUUUUGUCCGGAAAGAAAACGCCGUGGUUAAUACCCGUGGCGGAUGACGGUACCGGAAGAAUAAGCACCGGCUAACUACGUGCCAGCAGCCGCGGUAAUACGUAGGGUGCAAGCGUUAAUCGGAAUUACUGGGCGUAAAGCGUGCGCAGGCGGUCCGCUAAGACAGAUGUGAAAUCCCCGGGCUUAACCUGGGAACUGCAUUUGUGACUGGCGGGCUAGAGUAUGGCAGAGGGGGGUAGAAUUCCACGUGUAGCAGUGAAAUGCGUAGAGAUGUGGAGGAAUACCGAUGGCGAAGGCAGCCCCCUGGGCCAAUACUGACGCUCAUGCACGAAAGCGUGGGGGGCAAACAGGAUUAGAUACCCUGGUAGUCCACGCCCUAAACGAUGUCAACUAGUUGUCGGGUCU
rnacentral:rRNA from 1 species